GCGUUAUCCGGAAUUACUGGGCGUAAAGCGUACGUAGGCGGGUAUUUAAGUGCAAUGUGAAAUCUUGUGGCUCAACCAUAUAGACUAUGUUGCAUACUGGGUACCUAGAGGACGGCAGAGGCAAGUGGAAUUUCUAGUGUAGCAGUGAUAUGCGUAGAUAUUAGAAGGAACACCAAUGGCGAAGGCAGCUUGCUGGGCCGCCCCUGACGCUGAGGUACGAAAGCGU
rnacentral:rRNA from 1 species